GUAUUGUAUAGGCCCUGUACUGCAGUUAUGCUGUAUUGUGCAACAUGUAGCAAGUGCUGUGGUUGGCAAGUGUUUUUUUUUUUUUGUAUUUUUUGUAAUGUAGACUUGUACAAAAAUAUUUGCCUAUGGAAUAUUUCACCCGCAUAGAUAUAUAAUAAACCGCACGUUUGAUCUUCCUUCGCGCCAAAGGUCGUUGUCCUGACAACGAGUCUCGCGAGCAGAGGAUUACUUGUAACAGUAAAUCAGCGUCUUUUCCGUAGUGUCUACUGCAGGAUGGAUAUAAAAGUAUAAAACACGUUUUGGUUUGACAACAUCGUUCAUAUGUGAACUAUCACAAUUAAAGCACAAAGACAUAACAACAUUACACCCGAGACCUUUCACAAGUGCGACAAAAGAGAAGAAACGCUUUCCGGAAGAAGUUCAUCAGGCGAGGAGCGUUGACUUUGUCCAGUCAUCAAGUUUAGCGGUGAGUAUAAUGUCUAAUGUCCUCAUAUCUUUAUUUAUAAUUUUAGAGAGAUGUAAAAUGACUUAUUUAAUGACUUAUAUAAAAUGACGGAUAUCUUAUUCAACCCGCUGAGAUGAGAAGAAAACGAGAGGAAACGCCGCUUCAGUGCUGAUCUGUAGCGCACGCGGUCAGUGCGCGAGGUGCUUGUGAUAGAACGACAAACAACUGGUUUAAUGCUGUUUUUACUACACUUUUACUAUAAUAAACACCAACAUCUCAAUCCAGCCAGUGACAACCCUGUGUAUAGAUGUAUUUAACUCUGCUAUGGCUCAGCAAUUUGUUAUAAGCAGUUCUGUAGAAAUUAGUAAUGUCAUUGUCCAGCUCAGUUCAGUUCUCAAUAGCAUCAGUACCAUUUACAAUAAUGGAAUAAACAAAAUUAUACUGAAUACAGUGUAUUUGUUUGUUUGUUUGUUUCUAGGAGAGCAUCAACUCCUAAUUGACAUGAGGAAAAAAUCAUUGAAAAGUGUUCAGUGUGUACCCCUCUUUGCAACAGAGGAAGCAUUAGGAAAGAGGAGAAGAGAGAAAGUGAAAAGGCACUCAACAGAUGUUGGCGAGACUUUAUUUCUGGAAAUGCAUUAAAGGUCACUCACAUUCUAGUUAGCCACAAAUGUAACGUGAUUUUAGAUUUUAGUCUUUAAAUGAGAUCCGUAACUCCAGCUACUUGUAGGCCUACAGUCCUGUAUAUUUCACACUAAAUUGUGAUGCAGCCUGAAUCAUAAUCACACCAUGUUCAUUUGUUGGCCAGAGGAGAACUGAUCCCUAAACUAAAUAUACUCUCUCCCAAGGUUUGUUUUCUCCAUUCUGUCACCUGACAGAGUUUGGGUUCCUUGCCGCUGUCGUCUUUUGGCGUGCUUAUUUGGGGACUAAUAAUAUUCAGCAGUAUUAUUGAUCUGACUCCACUGACACUAUUGGAUGAGUACUGAACUGAGCUAGAUGAUGACACCACUGCUAUCUAGAUGCAUUGAAAUUAUUUUAUAUUUGAUGAUUUUUAUACAGUUAAUCGAAAUUAACUGAGUCAACACUGAUUUCAACUGAACAAUGACGCGUUUUACUGUUUAGAGCUGCUUCACAGCAGAUGUGAAUUCUGUUUGCAUCAUUAUUUUUCUUUUUAUCACUUAAAGCAGCACUGAAACAAUCUGUAUUGUAUAAAGCGCUAUAUAAAUAAUGGUGACUUGACUUAAAUUGGUUCAAAUCUUCAAAAAAAAGUGCAUGAAACAGGCAACCUGAAUAAACACAAAAUACAGUUUAUUAAUGAAACUUGCCUUUGUUUUAUGUUAAUUUUCUUAGGAAUAUCUGACAAUAUUUAGUGCUGAUAUACUCAAAAAUAGAAUAAAUCAGGAUUUUUUUUCACAGCACUGUACACCAGCAUUUAUGUGCUGUAGUGUGACAUUAAUGUGUGGAAAUGGACAUUUUAUCAGUGUGUGAUUGCUAUUUUCAGGAAAUGCACUGGUAACAACUAAAAAAAGACGACCAAAAAUAUAAUUCAACAGAGGAUGAUGGCUGUGGUGAAACAAGCACUCAAAUAAUGGAACAAAGACCAGUGGGAGUGCUGGAGAAAUCAAGUGUAUAAGUCCUCUGUCGUCUCAGCCAUGGAAGAGAUCUUCAGACAUGAAGAGAUCGAGGAGUUAAAUGAAAUCAAAGAGCUAAAGAAGAUCUACAAUAUUAGUGCCAUUUCAGUAUGAAAACAGAGAGAGAGCUGAGGCAGUGGAAAGAAAUGCAUGUUAUUGUUCAAGGGGUAGUUGAAUGGACUAUCAAUGCAGGAACAGAAAGCUCUGAGAUUUCAUUAUAAAGAUCUUCAAUUGUGUUCUGAAGAUGAAUGAAGGACUUGCGGGUUUGGAACGAUAUGAGGACUACAUCCAAAAUAGUGUUUCCACAUCUGAGAUGAAGGCAGUCAUAAGAACCAAGCAAAACGAUGAGGAUAAGCUCUUCAAAAAAUGAAACCCGUCAGAAUAAUGCGGGAAGAAAUGUGCAUGAUUGUGUGAUUUGUAAAUAAACACUAAAUACAUUUAGUGUAACUCUCAGCCUGUUAUUUUAAGUUUAAAGAAAAGUAAAAUCAUUUAUUGUUGCAUUGCUGUUUGAGACAUUCACUGUUAUUUUGUACCUUAAUUUAUUAUAUUGCAGUUGUGUAAAAUAAAACUUGUUAUUCUGAAUAU